AUUGGCGCAGUGCGGCAAGCCUACACAUGCAAGUCGAGCGGAACGAGUUAACUGACCCUUCGGGUGACGUUAACGGCGUCGAGCGGCGGACGGGUGAGUAAUGCCUGGGAAUAUGCCUUGAUGUGGGGGAUAACCAUUGGAAACGAUGGCUAAUACCGCAUAAUGCCUUCGGGCCAAAGAGGGGGAUCUUCGGACCUCUCGCGUCAAGAUUAGCCCAGGUGGGAUUAGCUAGUUGGUGAGGUAAUGGCUCACCAAGGCGACGAUCCCUAGCUGGUCUGAGAGGAUGAUCAGCCACACUGGAACUGAGACACGGUCCAGACUCCUACGGGAGGCAGCAGUGGGGAAUAUUGCACAAUGGGCGCAAGCCUGAUGCAGCCAUGCCGCGUGUGUGAAGAAGGCCUUCGGGUUGUAAAGCACUUUCAGUCGUGAGGAAGGUGGUGUAGUUAAUAGCUGCAUCAUUUGACGUUAGCGACAGAAGAAGCACCGGCUAACUCCGUGCCAGCAGCCGCGGUAAUACGGAGGGUGCGAGCGUUAAUCGGAAUUACUGGGCGUAAAGCGCAUGCAGGUGGUUAGUUAAGUCAGAUGUGAAAGCCCGGGGCUCAACCUCGGAACUGCAUUUGAAACUGGCUGACUAGAGUACUGUAGAGGGGGGUAGAAUUUCAGGUGUAGCGGUGAAAUGCGUAGAGAUCUGAAGGAAUACCGGUGGCGAAGGCGGCCCCCUGGACAGAUACUGACACUCAGAUGCGAAAGCGUGGGGAGCAAACAGGAUUAGAUACCCUGGUAGUCCACGCCGUAAACGAUGUCUACUUGGAGGUUGUGGCCUUGAGCCGUGGCUUUCGGAGCUAACGCGUUAAGUAGACCGCCUGGGGAGUACGGUCGCAAGAUUAAAACUCAAAUGAAUUGACGGGGGCCCGCACAAGCGGUGGAGCAUGUGGGUUA
rnacentral:rRNA from 1 species